AAUGAAGCUUUAUUUUUUUUUACUUAAUUAAAUAUUUUUUAUAUAUUUAAAAAUAAAAAAUUAAAAAAAAAAGUAUAAUUAUUAGAAAUAUAUUAAAUCUUAAAGCUAAAGAAAGUACUGUAAAGGAAACAUGAAAAUUAUUAAAAAAAAAUUUUUAAUAUAGAAAAAAUUAUAAAUUUUACCUUUUGUAUAAUGGUUUAACAACAAAGUGAGAAAAAAUUUUCUUUACCCGAAACCAAGAGAUCUAAUGAAAUCCCAACAUUUUGGUUGAAAAAGUAUUACUGUUGCAAAAGUAAACUAAGAGGUCUCAUUAGCCAUGAAAAAUGAAUCGAGCUUGGUGAUAGCUGGUUUUCUUUAAAAUGAGUAUUAGCUCAAGCUAUUAUUUAUGAUUUUUAAAAUUUUUCAUAAAAUUAUAAAGCUAAACCAAAAGGGAUAAGCUUUUUGGUUAAAGGAAAAAGCCUAUAAAAAUAGUAAAAGUCAAAAAAAAAGAAAUAAAAAAAAAAGUAUAGUAGGCCUAGAAGCAGUCAACUAAAAGAAAGCGUUAAAGCAUAACCUAUUUAUUAUUAAUAAUUAAUGAAAAAAUAACUUUAGCUUUUUUUUACAAAAGAAUAUUAUCUUUAAAAGAAAAAAAAAAAUGUUAAAAUAAGUACUUUUUUGGUUAAGUUAAACAUUAAUCACCUCUAACAUAAACUUUGGAAGAAUAAAAAAAACUUAUAACAAGAAAAAAUUUUUAUUUAUUGUUAACCCAACACUGGAAACCAAUUAAAAUUAAUAAAUAAAAGGAAGGAACUCGGCAAAAAAAAAUUCCGCCUGUUUACCAAAAACAUCGCUCCUUGAAAAAUUAUUAUAAGGAGUACCGCCUGCCCGGUGAUUCACAGAAUUUAACGGCCGCGGUAUCUUGACCGUGCAAAGGUAGCAUAAUAAUUUGCUCUAUAAUUGAGGGCUAGUAUGAAUGGCAAGACGAGAAUUUAACUGUCUCCCUUCUAAGAAAAGAAAUUAAUAUAUUAGUGAAGAAGCUAAUAUUUAAACGUAAGACGAGAAGACCCUGUCGAGCUUAAGAAAAUUUUUAUAAAAAAUUUUUAAAAAAUAAAAUAUUAUUAAAGAUUUUUUUUAAUAAAAAUAAUCUUUGGUUGGGGCAACCACGAAGAAAAAAUAACCUUCGAUAAAAAAAAGAAAUAAACAAAUUAAAAAAAGAAGACUUUAAAACAAAUCCGGAAAUUCCGAAUUAGAAAAAAGUUACCGCAGGGAUAACAGCGUUAUUCUCUUUGAGAGUUCAUAUUGACAAGAGAGUUUGCGACCUCGAUGUUGGAUCGAGGCACCCAAGAGAUGCAGAAGUCUCUAAAGGUAGGUCUGUUCGACCUUUAAAGCCUUACGUGAUCUGAGUUCAGACCGACGAGAGUCAGGUCAGUUUUUAUCUACGUUACUUAAGAACAAAUCCAAUUAGUACGAAAGGAAUUUUUGGAUUAAAGUUAAUUUUUCAAAAAAUACUUUAAAAAUAAAUCUGAAAAAAAAUAAAGAAAAAGUUACCUUAUUAGU
rnacentral:rRNA from 1 species